rnacentral:sRNA from 1 species
GCCGGGCGCAGUGGCACAUGCCUGUAACCCCAGCCACUUGGGAGGCUGAGACAGGAGAAUUACGAGUUCAAAGCCAGCCUUAGCAAAAACAAGGCACUGAGCAACUCUGUGAGACCCUGUCUCUA